AGUGAACGCUGGCGGUAGGCCUUACACAUGCAAGUCGAACGGCAGCACAGUAAGAGCUUGCUCUUACGGGUGGCGAGUGGCGGACGGGUGAGGAAUACAUCGGAAUCUACUUUUUCGUGGGGGAUAACGUAGGGAAACUUACGCUAAUACCGCAUACGACCUACGGGUGAAAGCAGGGGAUCUUCGGACCUUGCGCGAUUGAAUGAGCCGAUGUCGGAUUAGCUAGUUGGCGGGGUAAAGGCCCACCAAGGCGACGAUCCGUAGCUGGUCUGAGAGGAUGAUCAGCCACACUGGAACUGAGACACGGUCCAGACUCCUACGGGAGGCAGCAGUGGGGAAUAUUGGACAAUGGGCGCAAGCCUGAUCCAGCCAUACCGCGUGGGUGAAGAAGGCCUUCGGGUUGUAAAGCCCUUUUGUUGGGAAAGAAAAGCAGCAGGUUAAUACCCCGCUGUUCUGACGGUACCCAAAGAAUAAGCACCGGCUAACUUCGUG
rnacentral:rRNA from 1 species